rnacentral:piRNA from 1 species
UGAGUAUUUUCUAUGUUUUGUGGUUUGGG